UACGGAGGUGGCAAGCGUUGCUCGGAAUCACUGGGCGUAAAGGGUGCGUAGGCGGGUCUUUAAGUCAGGGGUGAAAUCCUGGAGCUCAACUCCAGAACUGCCUUUGAUACUGAAGAUCUUGAGUUCGGGAGAGGUGAGUGGAACUGCGAGUGUAGAGGUGAAAUUCGUAGAUAUUCGCAAGAACACCAGUGGCGAAGGCGGCUCACUGGCCCGAUACUGACGCUGAGGCACGAAAGCGUGGGGAGCAAACAGG
rnacentral:rRNA from 1 species